rnacentral:lncRNA from 1 species
UUAUUAAGAUGAUUGAAGAUUGGUAGAAAUGGAGGAAAACCAGAGAAGAAAUGCAGAGAAGAAAUGAAGAAGAUAAGAAUGGUCUGAAAGCCUGAGUUUGAUUCAUAUCGUUGGUUGGGUUUUAUACUAAAACCCAACGGUAACUGUAACAGUAAAAACGGAGUAACAAACGCGGGUAAAACACGUGUCCCCGUUUGAUUCAACAACAACUCAACUUAACGGAAAGGAAACGGAAAUUACACAGAAAGCUAAAACUCGUCGUUUCAUUAAAACCUUCUCUUCACUUCUUCACGUUGACUCAUAGUCUUCCCUUAACGCCGUGUGUUCUUGGCUGCAUUUCAUACCCUCCCACAAGUUGGAGAGUAAAUGUCAUACACUCCCAACUUGCUCAGCAGCAGUUGAAGACGAGUUCUGUGCAGCGCUUUUGUGAAAACAUCCGCUGGUUGAUCAGUUGUCCCAAUGUGCUUCAAGGCCACCAUUCCUGACUUGAUCCUUUCUCUCGUCACAUGACAGUCUAUCUCGAUAUGCUUAGUACGCUCAUGAAACACUGGAUUUUCUGCAAUAUAGAUAGCUGACUUGUUAUCACAGUACACAUUCAUAGGCAUAGGGAUCUCCACACCUAGCUCCUUAAUCAGCUCAGACAACCAUUGCAUUUCACACACUAAAUGCGCCAAGGAUCUGUACACAGCUUCAGAAGAUGAUCUGGAUACAGUUCCUUGUUUCUUUGAUCUCCAGGUGACAAGUGAACUACCAAGAUAUGUGCAAUAACCAGAGAUCGAUCUUCUAGUAUCUGGGCAAGCAGCCCAAUCUGAAUCACAAUAACCAGUCAAUAUUAGUUCAUUACAUGACUUGUACAUCAACCCUUGAGCUGGUGAUGACUUCAAGUAUCUCAAAACGCGAUAAGCUGCCUCCAAAUGAACACUGUAAGGUUCAUUCUGAAACUGACUAAGCUGUUGAACAGCAAAAGUGAUGUCUGGUCGAGUGAUGGUUAGAUAAUGCAACCUUCCAAUCAACGUUCUAUACAUGGAAGGAUCAUCAAGAGGACUACCUUGCUUUGCACUCAAACGCAAGUUGACCUCCAUGGGACUUUUACAACCUUUGGCCUCCAAAAACCCAGUGUCUGUGAGUAAUUCAACACAGUACUUUCUUUGAUUCAUUACGAUACCAACCUUGGAACGAGCAAUUUCAAGUCCAAGAAAGUAUCUAAGUUCCCCUAGAUCCUUGAUCUUAAACUGUUGAUGUAGAUAGUCCUUGACUCCCUUAAUUUCUGACAAAUCUUUUCCAGCAAGAAUUAUGUCAUCCACGUACACUAGUAGCAUAACAAGUGAGCGAUCAUUUCCUUUGACAAACAGUGAAUAAUCAGAACUGGUUUGUUUAAAACCAAAUUCCAAGAGAGCUCCAGUCAGCUUGGCAAACCAUUGCCUGCUCGCUUGCUUCAGUCCAUAAAGAGAUUUUCUAAGUUUCAGACACAUACCUGGUGGAGCAUUUAACCCAGCUGGUAUUCGUAAAUAAACUUCUUCAUUGAGAUCUCCAUGUAAGAAUGCAUUAGAUACAUCCAUUUGUUCUAAAAAUAGAUCUUGAGCUGCUGCUAUUGCUAGCAAAACCUUCACUGUAUUAAUUUUAGCCACUGGUGAAAAUGUAUCAACAAAGUCUACACCUUGUAUCUGAUCGAAACCCUGUGCAACUAGCCUUGCCUUAUGUCUUUCAACACUUCCAUCUGGUUUUAACUUUAGUUUGAAAACCCAUUUUGUUCCCAAUUUGUGAAAAGCUUCUGAAUCAGGAACCACAUCCCAGGUGUGAUUCUCAUUAAGUGCCCCAAGUUCAUUUUGAACAGCCACAUUCCAAUGUGGAUCCUUUAUAGCUUCCUUAUAACUCUUUGGUUCCUGCUGAACUAUUACAUUCAAGGCAAAACUAAGAAAAUUGUCAGAAAGACCAUCAUAUGAAAUGACAGUAGCAAGGGAGUGUUUAGCAACACUAGCAUUCAAAUGGUAGUCCUGUAGAUGCACAGGAGGGCGACGUGUUCUAGUGGACAUCCUGACAUCCAGCAGAUCAGGCUGCUCUCCCUCCCCUGCUGGAUGAAACUCAGGAUCUGGAAUGUUCAAUUCUUCCUCACUAUCAGAAAGAUUACCCUGCAACUGACAUGAACGAUUAGUGACAUGUGAAACUGCAUCUGGAGCUACUGAUGCUGAAGGAAGAGAUGUACUAGGACGUGUUGUGGAUAUGGUACAGUGUGCAGGAGGAGAAACAGGCACCUCGACAGGAACAGGAGAGGAAACUAGAAUUUCUGAUUCAAGAGGAGUAGUAGUGGACAGAUCAUGUGACUUGAAGGGAAAUAUGUUUUCAUAAAAUACGACAUCCCUAGAGAUAUAAAUGUUGUUGGUAGACAGAUCAAGCAACUUAUAUCCCUUAAUAUGAGAGGGAAUGCCUAAGAGUACACUUUGUUUGGCACGAGGCUGGAAUUUUCCACGAUUAUGAGACAAGGUAGCAACAUAUGCUAAGCAACCAAAGACUUUAAUGUGACUGAAUGUGGGAGGAUGAUUGUAAAGAAUCUCAAAAGGAGUCUUGUUUUGAAUGACAGAGGAGGGUGUUCGAUUGAUUAGAUACACAGAGUGAAGGACAAAAUCACUCCAGUAAAUCAAAUGAAGGCCAGACUGAAAUUGCAAAGCUCUUGCUACAUUCAAGAUAUGCUGGUGUUUACGUUCUACUUUAGCAUUCUGUUGAGGCGUUUGGACACAAGACAUUUGGUGUAUCAUACCAUGCUCAGAAUAGAAGUCAGGCAUGUGAAAUUCUUUACCCUGAUCACUUCUGAUCAUUUUGAUCUUAGCUUUAAACUGGGUAUGAACCAUGUGACAGAAUGAUUGAAGUAAGGCUCGUGUUUCUGAUUUGUAUUUCAUUAAGUAAAUCCAAACUCCUCGAGAGUAAUCAUCAACUAUGGUGAGGAAAUAUAAGAAGCCAUCAUGGGAUUCUGUGGAUAACGGGCCCCAAAUAUCGACAUGAAUGAGAUCAAAAACAGCAUUGACAGUAGUCUGACUACUAUGGAAAGGAAGGCGUUUAUGUUUAGAAAGAUGACAAACUGAACAAUGAGACAAGGAUUCAGAGGAGACAUUAUGAUCAUGACUAUGUAGAAUCUUCAGCUUCUCAGCACUGGGAUGUCCCAUUCUCCAAUGCCAGAGACUGAUUUCUUCAGGUUUGUAAUUGUGGCUAACAGCUACCUGGGGACUGGAAGAAAUAUUUUGAGAAGGAUAUGAUGAAAUGUGUUUGUGAGUGGAUUGAAGGUGGUAAAGUCCUCUAGUCUGAACGGCUAAACCAAUCGUCUUGUCUGUUCUGAGAUCUUGAAGCUGACAAUGGUUGGAUUGAAAGGUUAGAGAAACAGGAAGAUGAGAGGUUAAUUUACUGACUGAGACCAGGUUAAAAUGGAAAGUGGGAACACAGAGAACAUUAUGUAUGAUUAAACCAUGAGGCAGCUUAACACUACCAACAUGACUGACAGACAUGGGAGAGGAGUCAGGAAGAUAAACAUUGACCCAUAUGACAGAUUUGUAUGAAGUAAAGUGUUUAAGGGAGCACGUUAUGUGAUCAGAAGCUCCAGUAUCCAGUAUCCACAAAUCAACUAAAUCAGGACAUGAACCAGCUGAGAGAGUAAACUUACCUGAGUCGUUUGAAGGAAUUGAAAUUCCUGAUCCUGAAUUUGUCACUUUGGUUUGCUGGACUGCUUGUAGCAGUUGUUUUAGCUGUGCCAACUCAGCAUUGGUUAGUGAAAGAGCAGCUGCCACUGUGGGGCUUUGUUGCUGUUCCACUGCUCCAGCAAAAUGGUUUGAAGGUGCACCACCACUGUUUACGUUCUGAGUAUUUUGUUCCUGUUGCUUCUUCCAUUUCAACCUUCUGCAUUCAUCCAAAAUGUGCCCUUCUUUCUUACAAUAUCUACAGAAUUUCUUUCCAGCUUGGUUAUAAUCCCUAGGAUUUUCAGAACCAGCAGCCAUAAUCAUUCUUGUGUCAACUUCAGAAGGCACUGCAAAUGCCACAUUCUGAGAGUUAUUUUCCUUUCCGAUCAUUGUACCACCUUUCACCUUCUCUUCAUGCUGCAGGGCAUGAUCAUAAGCUGAGCUAACUGUAGGCAGUGGAGUCAUCAUAAGGAGCUGAGUCCUAACCACAUCAAAUUCCUCAUUUAGUCCUCUGAGAAAUCGAAUCAAGUAAUCAGUGUCUUGCUUCUCUUGAAAUGCUACUACUGCUGCACAAGGUAUUACACUAGCUGGUGCACAAUUGCAGGGUACUAUGGGCGAGAACUGGCUAUAUUCUUCCCAGAGCCCCUUUAUCACUGUGUAAUAUUGAGUCACAGACAUCUGUCCCUGCUUACAUCCAUGUAUUUCAUCUUGUAGAUUAGCCAUUUUCAAAGCAUUUGCUUGUCCAAAUCUACGUUUAAGCUCUUGCCAUAAGAUCUGUGCAUUCUCAUGAUUUAGAACACUUCUGCGUAUCUCUGGAUGCAAUGAGUUUGCAAUCCAGCAGAGCACCAUAGUGUUACACGCAUCCCAGAGUGAGUAUCUAUCACUAGUAGGAGCAGGAGGUAUGAUGGAUCCAUCGAUGAAACCUACCUUGUGCUUAGUUUUGAGAGCAAACCUCACGGAUCUACUCCACAUUUGAUAGUUCGAUCCAUCCAACACUGUAUUGACGAUAGAUUGAGAUAGAUUUUCAUUCGGAUUAAGGUAAUAAGGAUUACCAAAGGUUAGAUUAGCAGUAGCCAUAUGUGAAGCUUCUCUGGUGCGAUGAACAUUCCCAACAGAUCCAAAGGUGAAUCCAGAGGUGUGUUGAUGAUUGGUUUGUUCAUCAUCAUCUUCAUCAUCAUCCUGACUUCGAGUCAUUGUGUAGUUCUAGAUCGAUUAAACCCGCUCUGAUACCAUAUUAAGAUGAUUGAAGAUUGGUAGAAAUGGAGGAAAACCAGAGAAGAAAUGCGGAGAAGAAAUGAAGAAGAUAAGAAUGGUCUGAAAGCCUGAGUUUGAUUCAUAUCGUUGGUUGGGUUUUAUACUAAAACCCAACGGUAACUGUAACAGUAAAAACGGAGUAACAAACGCGGGUAAAACACGUGUCCCCGUUUGAUUCAACAACAACUCAACUUAACGGAAAGGAAACGGAAAUUACACAGAAAGCUAAAACUCGUCGUUUUCAUUAAAACCUUCUCUUCACUUCUUCACGUUGACUCACAGUCUUCCCUUAACGCCGUGUGUUCUUGGCUGCAUUUCAUA